AGAAUGAACGCUGGCGGCGUGCUUAACACAUGCAAGUCGAGCGAGGCCAGGGGGGCAACUCCCUGAGUCGAGCGGCGGACGGGUGAGUAACACGUGGGUAACCUACCCGGAAGUGGGGAAUACCGUCGGGGAAACUCGAGCUAAUACCGCAUAACAUCUCGAGGACGAAAGUUCUUGUGAUCAAAGCGGGGCCGCAAGGCCUCGUGCUACCGGAUGGGCCCGCGCCCGAUUAGCUAGUUGGCGAGGUAAUGGCUCACCAAGGCGACGAUCGGUAACCGGCCUGGAGAGGGCGAGUCGGUACACGACCGGAACUGAGACACGGUCCGGACUCCGACGGAGGCAGCAGUGGGAAUCUGCGCAAGUGGGACGAAGCCGUGACGCAGACACGCGCGUGAGAUGGAAGGCCUUAGGGUACGUAACGUCGUGUCGCGUAGGAA
rnacentral:rRNA from 1 species